rnacentral:rRNA from 1 species
AGUGAACGCUGGCGGUAGGCCUAACACAUGCAAGUCGAACGGCAGCACAGUAAGAGCUUGCUCUUACGGGUGGCGAGUGGCGGACGGGUGAGGAAUACAUCGGAAUCUACUUUUUCGUGGGGGUUAACGUAGGGAAACUUACGCUAAUACCGCAUACGACCUACGGGUGAAAGCAGUGGAUCUUCGGACCUUGCGCGAUUGAAUGAGCCGAUGUCGGAUUAGCUAGUUGGGGGGGUAAAGGCCCACCAAGGCGCCGAUCCGUAGCUGGUCUGAGAGGAUGGUCAGCCACACUGGAAGUGAGACACGGUCCAGACUACUACGGGAGGCAGCAGCGGGGAAUAUGGGACAAAGGGCGCAAGCCUGAUACAGCCAUACCGCGUGGGUGAAGAAGGCCUUCGGGUUGUAAAGCCGUUCUGUUGGGAAAGAAAAGCAGCAGGUUAAUACCCCGCGGUUCUGACGGUACCCAAAGAAUAAGCACCGGCUAACUUCGUG